rnacentral:misc_RNA from 1 species
AGCAGCCGCGGUAAUUCCAGCUCCAAUAGCGUAUAUUAAAGUUGUUGCAGUUAAAAAGCUCGUAGUUGAAUUUCGGGAUCAGUUCGUCGGUCGUGCCUUUGGUAUGUACUGGUGUUACUGGUUCCUCCCUUCUGACGAACCGUCAUGUCAUUAAUUUGGUGUGGCGGGAAAUCAGGACUGUUACUUUGAAAAAAUUAGAGUGUUUAAAGCAGGCUCGCGCUUGAAUACAUUAGCAUGGAAUAAUGAAAUAGGACGUUCGAUCCUAUUUUGUUGGUUUCUAGGAUUGACGUAAUGAUUAAUAGGGAUAGUUGGGGGCAUUAGUAUUCAAUUGUCAGAGGUGAAAUUCUUGGAUUUAUUGAAGACUAACUACUGCGAAAGCAUUUGCCAAGGAUGUUUUCAUUAAUCAAGAACGAAAGUUAGGGGAUCGAAGACGAUCAGAUACCGUCGUAGUCUUAACCAUAAACUAUGCCGACUAGGGAUCGGAUGAUGUUAAUUUUUUAAUGUACUCAUUCGGCGCCUU